rnacentral:lncRNA from 1 species
UAGAAGGGAGCCCGAUUGCUUCGGGAUGGACACCACCCACCUCUCGGCGAUGCCGCAACGAUAGAAAACUCGACGUUGGGAUUCUUGUACGCCGCUUCAACUCCUCGGGGCGAAGCGAGCCCUCGAGUACCCGAUUCGGCGAUUUCUCCGCACCCGCUCGUCGGAUCGAGAAACCGACUUCGCCGACGCGUUCCGGGACCUAGCAAUUAGGUUAGCGACCCAACAAAUUAGAUCAAAACCCUAAAUUUCCCAAACUCCCAAAUCCGUGCCCUAGAAUGGCGACGAGAGGGAAAUCCACGGUGCGAGCUUCGAUUGCGAGCCCGAACCAUCUACUUAUCUCCUCUAGGUUCCAUUUGAACCUAUUCGAACCAUCUCUAAACCAUAAAACCCAAAACCCUAAAAACACCAUUAAAGGGGUUGGAGCUUACCUCUAACCUAAGCUCCAAGCUUGAGGGAGAGAGAGAAGAAGACAAUCUUCUUCUUCUUCUUAGUCUUCUCCUUCUCUUUCUUCUUCUUUCUUCUCUUCUUAGUCUUCUCCUUCUCUUUCUUCUUCUUUCUUCUCUUCUUCUCCUUCCUCUUCUCUUUCGUUUCUUUUCUUU